rnacentral:ribozyme from 1 species
GUGGCCAUAGCAGAAGUGCUCAUGUUGCAGCCCUGUCAGAUUCUAACGAAUCUGCAAAUUUUGCU